UAAUCAAACGAACAAAGAUGUUCAAAAAAUCGAAGGGGAAGAACAAAUCGAAUCCGAAGGCGAAGGAAGCUGAAACGUCAUAUACAAAUCCCUCAAACGUUGAUGUUGUACGGGAGGAUUUUAUUGUAAUUGGAACAUACCCUUCCGUGAAAGAUGAAUCAAAGGAGGCGGCGAUAGCUUCUUUGUCCGAAUCUGCCAGUAAGAUUGAUCCCUCACAUUUUGCGGCUUUCGUCGACGAAAUGACGGGUGUGCCGGAGAUUGACAUAUGGAGGUUUAUCUUUUACCUUAAGAAAGUAUUUUCCCAAGUAUCAUCAUUACCAUGGUUUAACAUGUUAAAGACAUCGCCUUUGUCCGAUGUUCCAUUAUCUUAUAUUCCUAAAUCCGUCUACGAAACAGCAGCCGAUUGGAUCAACAAACUUCCAUCCGUUUCACACUGGAAGUUCGUAACGUGGGCGCUUGACCGACUUCUCAUUGAUUGGGCAGCACAUUCUAAAGGCGAAGAACAACCUUUUAUCAUAUAUCAGGUGGCGACAUUGGUUGAAUUGGCCAUGGUGUUGCGUGCUAACCCUGAUUCUUUGACUGGUCUUUUGCCGAUGCUGAGGUGGAGACCUAUGUAUCAUGGCGAAGACAAGCUUCCGCUUAUCGUUUGGAUGAUGUCUCAUGCCUUUCAACAAGAUUUGCCUGCUGCCUUGUAUUCAUGGGCGGUUAACUUGCUGCCACUAGUCGUUAGUAACAAGUGCUGCUACAGCUCUCAGUCAAUUCAUCUCAUCCUGCAAUUUGUUGAGAUGAGGAUUUUGUCCUCGAAUCCAGAGGCUCGGGCUGUACUCCUAAACGAACCUGUUCGACAUGGAGAGCGGCUGAUUCCACCUCGUUCGUUUGAGAUCUUGGUGCGCCUUACAUUCCCGCCUAGAGUAGAGGAGGCAACAACAGAGAGGUUUCAGGCAAUUUAUCCCUUGUUGAAGGAAGUUGCCCUUGCACCAGAUACAAGUGCAGACGCACUGAAACAGAUAUUCACUUUUUCCUUGAAAUUAGCUGGAGAAGAAGGCAAUCCUGCUCUAACCAGUGAAGCUACAGCAAUCGCCUUCAGUGUUUUGACACAAAACGUUGAUUGCUUUAAGCAAUGGGAUGUUCUCUACAAGGAGCAUCUAGAAGCUAGCGUUGCUCUUCUUAAAAAGCUUGUAGACGAAUGGGAGUAUCAUUCCUUCAAAUUAUCAUCAUCACCGACUGAUACUCUCACUGUCAAACGAACUAUGAAUAGCUUCAUCCUGAAGAACGAAAUAGCCAUCACUGAAGGAGUAGCCAAGCUUUCUCUUUACAAAGAAGCUGACAAGUCGUGCAAACUGAUCUCAACGAGACUCACCCCUGGAAGUGGCGGCCGCAACAUAAUGGAUCUGAACAAAUCAAAUCCGGCAAAGAUCGAUCCCUCAGACCUUAAGCUUGUGGAAGACAAAUCAAACGCUGAGGAAAUUGAAAAGGCGAUAUUGUCUUUGUCCGAAGCUGCCAAAAAGAUGGACCCCUCACCUCUUGCGGCUUACCUCGACCAAGUAUUGGACGAUGAUUGGUAUAUACCGGCGAAGCAGAUGUUGAAAUUAAUCCAUUACUAUGGGGAUGAACUUUCCCAAGUAUCCUUUCAAUGGGUCAAGAUGUUCCAGGACUAUCCUUUAUCCAAGCUCAUUCAUGUUCCGUUAUCUCUUAUUCCUAAGCCUGUCUACGAAACAACAGUCGAUUUCAUCAACGUACUUCCAUUCGAGACUAUACUACCUGGCGUUGUACUAUGGGCCUCUGAUUUCAUUCUCACUGAAUGGCCUAGAGUUGUUGUCAAAGUUGAACAAGACAAAUCCAAGGUGGCAGCAUUUGUUGUGUUAGCCAUGGUGUUGCGUACUCGACCUGAUGCCUUGACUCUUGUUUUGCCGGAGCUGAGGGAGAGUCCUACCUAUCAAGGCCAGGACAAGCUUCCGGUUAUAAUUUGGAUGAUGGCUCAGGCCUCCCAAGGUGAUUUAUGUGCUGGCUUGUAUUCGUGGGUGCGUAACUUGCUGCCACUAGUCGCCAAUAACAAGGACUACAGCAGCUCUCAGUCAACUCAUCUCAUCCUGCAAUUUGUUGAGAUGAUUUUGUCCUCGAAUCCAGAGGCUCGGGCUGUACUCCUAAACGGAGCUGUUAGGCAUGGAGAGUGGCUGAUUCCACCUUGUUCGUUUGAGAUGUUGGUGCGGCUUACAUUCCCUGCUAGAGUAGAGGAGGCAACAGAGAGGUUUCAGGCAAUUUAUCCCUUGUUGAAGGAAGUGGCCCUUGCACCAGAUACAAGUGCAGACGCACUAAACAGAUAUUCACUUUUUCCUUGAAAUUAGCUGGCCAAAAAGGAAAUCCUGCUCUGGCCAAUGAAGCUACAGCGAUCGCCAUCAGUGUUUUGACACGAAACGUGGAUUGCUUUAAGCGAUGGGAUGUUCUCUACAAGGAGAAUCUUGGAAGCUAGCGUUGCUCUUCUUAAAAAGCUUGUAGACGAAUGGGAGCAUCAUUCCCUCAAACUAUUAUCAUCAUCGUCGAGUGUCAAGCAUGCUAUGAACAGCUUCAGGAUGAUGAAGACCGGAACAACCAUCACUGAAGGAGUAGAUAGUUUUCUUUACGAAGAAGCUCACAGGUCGUUCAAACUGAUCUCGAGGAGUCUCUCACGUCACCUCCGCAAAGCACGUACCCAAAUGCACUUGCUCGAUUUUCCCACAUGAAAUAGUUAGAUUUUCAAUAAAGAUGUUACUGGUUAAUCACUCUCCUCAAUACUCACUCCCUUGUGAGAAACAAAUUAGAUUAUUGCGUUUGACUUGGUAAAUGUAGCAAGAAAUGUGGGGAAUACAGAAAUAUCUUUUUGAUUUU